UAGGAAAAAUAUCUCAGCAUGGCAACCAAAGAAGAAAUAUUGAGCAACCUCCAAAAGAUCCUUACUAAUAACCUCUCAACAAACUUUGAAGAACUUGCCACUCAUUCCAUCUGGACUUAUUAAGAAAGUACAACUCAUUAAGAAAAACACAAUUUUUAUUUAUUCCAAUGUGGGUAUCACUUGUAACAUUUGUUUCUCAUCUUCAUUGACUAUUCUAGGAAUGCAAUUUAGAACCUACUUAUUUA
rnacentral:lncRNA from 1 species